UCCGGUUUGUCACCGGCAGUCUCCCUAGAGUUCCCGACCGAAUCGCUGGUAACUAAGGACAGGGGUUGCGCUCGUUACGGGACUUAACCCAACAUCUCACGACACGAGCUGACGACGGCCAUGCAGCACCUGUCACUGCGCUCCCGAAGGCACCCCUCUAUCUCUAAAGGGUUCGCAGGAUGUCAAGGCCAGGUAAGGUUCUUCGCGUUGCGUCGAAUUAAACCACAUGCUCCACCGCUUGUGCGGGCCCCCGUCAAUUCAUUUGAGUUUUAACCUUGCGGCCGUACUCCCCAGGCGGAGAACUUAGUGCGUUAGCUGCGUCACUAAGGAUUCAAGACCCCCAACGACUAGUUCUCAUCGUUUACAGCGUGGACUAC
rnacentral:misc_RNA from 1 species